rnacentral:rRNA from 1 species
UACGGGGGGGGCAAGCGUUGUUCGGAAUUACUGGGCGUAAAGGGCUCGUAGGUGGCCAACUAAGUCGGACGUGAAAUCCCUCAGCUUAACUGGGGAACUGCGUCCGAUACUGGAUGGCUCGAGUUUGGGAGAGGGUAGUGGAAUUCCCGGUGUAGUGGUGAAAUGCGUAGAUAUCGGGAGGAACACCAGUGGCGAAGGCGACUACCUGGCCUGUUCUUGACGCUGAGGCGCGAAAGCUAGGGGAGCAAACGGG